rnacentral:rRNA from 1 species
GACGAACGCUGGCGGCGUGCUUAACACAUGCAAGUCGAACGGAAAGGCCCUGCUUGCAGGGUACUCGAGUGGCGAACGGGUGAGUAACACGUGGGUGAUCUGCCCUGCACUUCGGGAUAAGCUUGGGAAACUGGGUCUAAUACCGGAUAGGAGCCAUCUUUAGUGUGGUGGUUGGAAAGUUUUUUCGGUGUAGGAUGAGCUCGCGGCCUAUCAGCUUGUUGGUGGGGUAAUGGCCUACCAAGGCGGCGACGGGUAGCCGGCCUGAGAGGGUGUACGGCCACAGUGGGACGGAGAGACGGCCCAGACUCCUACGGGAGGCAGCAGUGGGGAAUAUUGCACAAUGGGCGCAAGCCUGAGGCAGCGACGCCGCGUGGGGGAUGAAGGCCUUCGGGUUGUAAACUCCUUUCGCUAGGGACGAAGCGUUGUUGUGACGGUACCUAGAUAAGAAGCACCGGCUAACUACGUG